AACGAACGCUGGCGGCAGGCCUAACACAUGCAAGUCGAACGCCCCGCAAGGGGAGUGGCAGACGGGUGAGUAACGCGUGGGAACGUGCCUUUCGGUUCGGAAUAGGCCGGGGAAACCCGGGUUAAUACCGGAUACGUCCUUCGGGAGAAAGAUUUAUCGCCGAGAGAUCGGCCCGCGUCUGAUUAGCUAGUUGGCGGGGUAAUGGUCCACCAAGGCGACGAUCAGUAGCUGGUCUGAGAGGAUGAUCAGCCACACUGGGACUGAGACACGGCCCAGACUCCUACGGGAGGCAGCAGUGGGGAAUAUUGGACAAUGGGCGCAAGCCUGAUCCAGCCAUGCCGCGUGAGUGAUGAAGGCCCUAGGGUUGUAAAGCUCUUUCGGCGGGGACGAUAAUGACGGUACCCGCAGAAGAAGCCCCGGCUAACUUCGUGCCAGCAGCCGCAGUAA
rnacentral:rRNA from 1 species